rnacentral:rRNA from 1 species
UGGGGAAUUUUGGACAAUGGGCGAAAGCCUGAUCCAGCAAUGCCGCGUGUGUGAAGAAGGCCUUCGGGUUGUAAAGCACUUUUGUCCGGAAAGAAAUCCUUGGCUCUAAUACAGUCGGGGGAUGACGGUACCGGAAGAAUAAGCACCGGCUAACUACGUGCCAGCAGCCGCGGUAAUACGUAGGGUGCAAGCGUUAAUCGGAAUUACUGGGCGUAAAGCGUGCGCAGGCGGUUUGCUAAGACCGAUGUGAAAUCCCCGGGCUCAACCUGGGAACUGCAUUGGUGACUGGCAGGCUAGAGUAUGGCAGAGGGGGGUAGAAUUCCACGUGUAGCAGUGAAAUGCGUAGAGAUGUGGAGGAAUACCGAUGGCGAAGGCAGCCCCCUGGGCCAAUACUGACGCUCAUGCACGAAAACGUGGGGAGCAAACAGGAUUAGAUACCCUGGUAGUCCACGCCCUAAACGAUGUCAACUAGUUGUUGGGGAUUCAUUUCCUUAGUAACGUAGCUAACGCGUGAAGUUGACCGCCUGGGGAGUACGGUCGCAAGAUUAAAACUC